GAGAGGGGAGAAGAGAAAAAAAAAAGGGAAAGAAAGGGAAAGGAAGAAGGAAUCCCGGCCAGGGGGGCACCGGUCCGGUCGCCGGAAGUUCAAAAGAGGAUGGGCACGGACGGUGGAGUGUGUGAUGGCUCAGCACGCGCGGGGCGUGGUGGCCGACAUGGUGGAGCAAUGUCAGGCGCACAUGGGGCAACGGCGCCAGAAACCCUAGGGUUUUUGGCUUUCCAAAAUUUUUUAGAGUCUUGGGCCUAUCGGACUUCACUGUUUUGGGCUGGUGUUGGGUUUUAACUGUUUAGGUUAGUUUGGGUUUUGGUUGUAACUGGGUUUUGGGUAUUUGUAUUUGGGCCUGGGUAAUUUAAAUGGGUCAUUUGGUUUUGAUUGUAAACAGGCCAAAAUUGGCCUACAACAGGUUGUAUUUUAUAUUUUUUAUUAUAUAUUUAAACUUUAAAUAAAAUUAUCGUC